AUUGAACGCUGGCGGCAGGCUUAACACAUGCAAGUCGAGCGGAGCGAGGGUGCUUGCACCUUAGCUUAGCGGCGGACGGGUGAGUAAUGCUUAGGAAUCUGCCUAUUAGUGGGGGACAACAUUCCGAAAGGGAUGCUAAUACCGCAUACGCCCUACGGGGGAAAGCAGGGGAUCUUCGGACCUUGCGCUAAUAGAUGAGCCUAAGUCGGAUUAGCUAGUUGGUGGGGUAAAGGCCUACCAAGGCGACGAACUGUAGCGGGUCUGAGAGGACGAUCCGGCACACUGGGACUGAGACACGGCCCAGGCUCCUGCGGGAGGCAGCAGUGGGGAAUACUGGACAAUGGGCGGAAGCCUGAUCCAGCCAUGCCGCGUGUGUGAAGAAGGCCUUUUGGUUGUAAAGCACUUUAAGCGAGGAGGAGGCUACUAGUAUUAAUACUACUGGAUAGUGGACGUUACUCGCAGAAUAAGCACCGGCUAACUCUGUGCCAGCCGCCGCAGUAA
rnacentral:rRNA from 1 species